rnacentral:tRNA from 1 species
GCGUGACCGAGUGGCUUAUGGUGGCCGUCUGCAAAACGGUUGAUGGGUGCAAGCUCAUCCGAGGGUUCGAAUCCCUCGGCA